rnacentral:rRNA from 1 species
GAUGAACGCUGGCGGCAUGCCUAAUACAUGCAAGUCGAACGAGACACUUCGGUGUCUAGUGGCGAACGGGUGAGUAACACGUAGGGAACCUGCCCGCGCACCGGGAAUACGCUCUGGAAACGGAGAACAAAUCCCGAUGAACAGUCUGAAGGCAUCUUUGGACUGUAAAACAUCCCAAGGGAUGGGGCGCGGAUGGACCUGCGGUGCAUUAGUUAGUUGGCGAGGGUAAAGGCCCACCAAGACGAUGAUGCAUAGCCGGCCUGAGAGGGCGGACGGCCACAUUGGGACUGAGACACGGCCCAGACUCCUGCGGGAGGCAGCAGUAGGGAAUUUUCGUCAAUGGGCGCAAGCCUGAACGAGCGAUGCCGCGUGAGUGAAGAAGGCCUUCGGGUCGUAAAGCUCUGUUGCGGGGGAAAAAAGGCAGUACCAGGGAAUGGGUACUGACUGAUGGUGCCCCGCCAGAAAGUCACGGCUAACUACGUGCCAGCAGCCGCCGUAAAAC